rnacentral:rRNA from 1 species
UACGUAGGGUGCGAGCGUUAAUCGGAAUUACUGGGCGUAAAGCGUGCGCAGGCGGUUUUGUAAGCCAGAUGUGAAAUCCCCGGGCUUAACCUGGGAAUGGCAUUUGGGACUGCAAGGCUGGAGUGCGGCAGAGGAGACUGGAAUUCCCGGUGUAGCAGUGAAAUGCGUAGAUAUCUGGAGGAACACCGGUGGCGAAGGCGGCAUCCUGGACCGAGAUCGACGCUGAGGCGCGAAAGCUAGGGGAGCAAACGGG